rnacentral:sRNA from 1 species
AAGGGACCUAGCGUAGUUCGGAAUUACUGGGCUUAAAGAGUUCGUAGGUGGUUGAAAAAGUUGGUGGUGAAAUCCCAGAGCUUAACUCUGGAACUGCCAUCAAAACUUUUCAGCUAGAGUAUGAUAGAGGAAAGCAGAAUUUCUAGUGUAGAGGUGAAAUUCGUAGAUAUUAGAAAGAAUACCAACUGCGAAGGCAGCUUUCUGGAUCAUUACUGACACUGAGGAACGAAAGCAUGGGUAGCGAAGAGGAUUAGAUACCCUCGUAGUCCAUGCCGUAAACGAUGUGUGUUAGACGUUGGAAAUUUAUUUUCAGUGUCGCAGGGAAACCGAUAAACACACCGCCUGGGGAGUACGACCGCAAGGUUAAAACUCAAAUGAAUUGACGGGGACCCGCACAAGUAGUGGAGCAUGUGGUUUAAUUCGAAGAUACGCGCAGAACCUUACCAACACUUGACAUGUUCGUCGCGACUUUAAGAGAUUAGAGUUUUCGGUUCGGCCGGACGAAACACAGGUGCUGCAUGGCUGUCGUCAGCUCGUGUCGUGAGAUGUUGGGUUAAGUCCCGCAACGAGCGCAACCCUCACUUUUAGUUGCCAUCAUUAAGUUGGGCACUCUGAAAGAACUGCCAGUGAUAAGCUGGAGGAAGGUGGGGAUGACGUCAAGUCCUCAUGGCCCUUACGUGUUGGGCUACACACGUGCUACAAUGGUAUCUACAACAGGAAGCAAAACUGCGAAGUUAAGCAAAUCCCUAAAAGAUACCUCAGUUCGGAUUGCACUCUGCAACUCGAGUGCAUGAAGCUGGAAUUACUAGUAAUCGUGGAUUAGCGUGCCACGGUGAAUGCGUUCCCGGGUCUCGUACACGCCGCCCGUCACACCAUGGGAGUUGGUUCUACCUUAAGGCAAGGUUUUAAACCCUUGACCACGGUAUAGUCAGCGACUGGGGUGAAGUCGUAACAAGGUAGCCGUAGGGGAACCUGCGGCUGAUUACCUCCUUUCCAAGGAUGAGUAAAAGUAAAAUUUUACUCUAAAUAAUAUACAUCGGUAAUGUUGACCGUCCUCAUUUCUCUUCUCAAAGUAAUGUUUCCUUCUUGUAGGGCCGGUAGCUCAGUUGGUUAGAGCACACCCUUGAUAAGGGUGGGGUCGAAAGUUCGAGUCUUUCUCGGCCCACCAAAAACCUAAAUGGGGGAUCAGCUCAUCUGGGAGAGCGCCUGAUUUGCAUUCAGGAGGUAGCAGGUUCGAUCCCUGUAUCCUCCACCAGGAAACAUUUAGUUAUUAAAACUGUAAAUAAAAAUAAUUUAUAUCAAUAUCUAUAUCCGAACAUUAAAAGUUAUUAUUUAAUGUUCAAAAUAAAAAUUUGAUCACAACAUAGAUAAAUUUUCUGUUAAAAGAAUUUUUUUCUGUGCAUAAAUCAAGCGUUUAAGGGCGUGUAGUGGAUGCCUUGGCACUGAAAGCCGAUGAAGGACGUGAUAUACUGCGAUAAGUUUCGGGGAGCUGUAUGUAAGCUUUGAUCCGAAAAUUU